rnacentral:rRNA from 1 species
AUUAUUUUAGAGCUUUACAUUGUAAGUAAAUAAUAAUUACGAAAGCAAAAAAUUAUGGCGGUAUUUUAAGCUUUUCAGAGGAAUUUGCUCUUUAAUGGAUAAAACACCUAAAUCUUACUUAAAUUUGUUAGGUCAAUUUGUAUACCACUAUUAAAUUAAUUAAUAAUUUUAAUUUAUAAAAUUUAUAUAAAUUUAAAAAAAAUUAAGUCAAGGUGCAGUAAAAAUUUAAGAAUGAAGUGAAUUACAAUUCUCUUAAGAGAUUAUUUAAAUUAAAAUUUUAAUUUAGGAUUUGAAAGCAAAAUUAAAAUAGAAUGUUAAUUUGAAUAAAGCUCUAAAAUAUGUACAUAUC